rnacentral:rRNA from 1 species
GAUGAACGCUGGCGGCGUGCCUAAUACAUGCAAGUCGAGCGAACAGACGAGGAGCUUGCUCCUCUGACGUUAGCGGCGGACGGGUGAGUAACACGUGGAUAACCUACCUAUAAGACUGGGAUAACUUCGGGAAACCGGAGCUAAUACCGGAUAAUAUAUUGAACCGCAUGGUUCGAUAGUGAAAGACGGUUUUGCUGUCACUUAUAGAUGGAUCCGCGCCGCAUUAGCUAGUUGGUAAGGUAACGGCUUACCAAGGCAACGAUGCGUAGCCGACCUGAGAGGGUGAUCGGCCACACUGGAACUGAGACACGGUCCAGACUCCUACGGGAGGCAGCAGUAGGGAAUCUUCCGCAAUGGGCGAAAGCCUGACGGAGCAACGCCGCGUGAGUGAUGAAGGUCUUCGGAUCGUAAAACUCUGCUAUUAGGGAAGAACAAAUGUGUAAGUAACUAUGCACGUCUUGACGGUACCUAAUCAGAAAGCCACGGCUAACUACGUG